CGCAGUUCCGUGCUUCAAUAGCGUCCCCUAUAAAAGCUGAACGUGACGUAAUGCGCUCUCAUUAAUUUCCCCGACGCGGUGCAGUGCGGAUGUAGUGUUGUGAAGUGUAACCAAGUUCUUCAGAAAUCUAUUGGGCAUUGUGCCUGAUCGGAUACAGUCCCAUUGCGUUUCGCGUGGGCCUGCAUCCGACGGCCGCCAUCUUGGUUGCCGCGGGGGCGUGCUCGGAGGUAACUACGGUAUGGGUUUGUAACGGUAUCAUGCAUUUUACUAGUUAAUUUAAUGUUUAAUUGUUAAUAAAUGUUUCAGUUAGCUAUAUACGAUAGUCGAUUGGAAUUAAAAGUUUAUUCAUAUUGAAUAAGAAAAUUGUAACAUAUGUUUAAGUAUGGAAAUAAAUGUUUUAAAAAUGGCGUAGAAUUUAAUUUGUCUAUUUUGUAAUAUUUGAAAUUUUCACCCAACGUGUAUUAUUCCAUGAGUCAUCGUGGACUUCGGAGACAAUGGCGGUCGAGGUGCGAGUUGCUGCGUAGUUUAUUGUGAAAGGAGAGAUGGCGUACGUGUCUCGGCUUUGCUGCCUUACGGCUGCCUCAAACAAACCCUCUACACGAGCUUUUACGGGGCCGGUACACAGUUCACAUAGGUAACGAUAGGUACCUAUUACCUACCCACUUGCGCAAUUAAACCUUUUAUGUAUAGGCCCUAGAGGGCCGUUAUGUGUUGUUAUUUCGAGCACAGAUACAGCUGACGAAAUGAGGCGCAAGUAAGACGGCUCGCUGCAUGCUGUCAUACAUCUAAUAGCUGAUGAUAUUUUAUCGUGCGGUAUUUGACUAAUAUGUAAGAGUAGGGUGAGUGCCAAUAACCUGUUUAUAUAAUGCCCGAUUUAGACUUGGGCUAGUAUGUGUUGACUUUUAAAUCUACACAGGCUGAGCAGUAUGACGGCACAAAUGCAAGUAAAUUGGAGCUCGCAAGUUAACAAAUGUACUCUACAUAUUUGCCCUGGCAUUGAGCGAUAAUAAUAUAUAAAAUGAAAACAAAAUAACUAGGUAACAUCUUAAACAUAUAUAUAAUAGCUGUAAAAUGGAAUAGAGACGCAUCAAAACCAUAAAAUUAUUGAAACAAAUAUCUGAAAAUAACUCUUCGAGGCGAAAUCGAGAAAAGUCAUAAUGGUAAGUUGUUAAGAUAACCAAACAGUAUUUAGUAUUUUUUCUCGUAGCUUUAAUAUAAAUGUUGUAUAACAUUAAACACAGUAUGAUAUCCAAUUUCGAUAAGAUGUACAAAACAAUUGACGCCAUCUUGAUUUGUUCGUGUACAAUUCACAGCUUUUAUCCUGGGUGCCGUGGUGAUACCAAGACCGUUUUAUCACUUUUAAGAUUAUGAUGCAUUGUGGACCUUCAAGAAGAAGGAAUCACUACCGCUCACGUCACCACGUCCCUAAAAGCAAGACGACUUAUUCUCUAACGUAGGCAAUAACCCUGAAUUAAGGUCGUAUACAAAGAAAAACACGUGGUAAUAAAUAGGUAAGUGGAUAUUCCGUGAGUGGAAUCAUUUAUCCUUGUUACCAAGGCAAAAACUAUUGACCGAUUUCCGGAUUUAAUUAACACAUUUUCAAAAUUAUAAGUUUUCGUAUUAAUGCCGUUACAUACGGCGGUAGGAUAUAAUAUGAGGUUUUUAGGUAAUUCUUUCAGGAACUCUUAAAUAAAUUUAUUUACCUUAUCAUAAGUAGCUAUACUAUGGAUCUGAUAUUGCGGACUUAUAAAUAUGCACACUUGGCAAAGAUGUGGAAUAUUUUGGGCAUAACUGUGUACCUGGCACCCAUUAUAUAAAUAUAAAACCUAUCAUUAACCAACCAACCAUAUUCUACCUGCUGCGAAUAAACAUGCUAAAUGUAUAAAUGAACUCUGCGAUAACUUUGAAACUUUCAAUGCAAGUAAGAUUUACACUGGAUCUGGCAAUCCUUAAUUCACACCACUACAACCAAACAGCAUAUUUUUUACACACUGAUACUUAAACCAAAUUAAUUAUGAACAAACGAGGAAAGCUAUGACAAUAUUGGAAAGAUAUAACUUAUCUACGAGAACUUUUCAGAGACGCCACUAAGGUAAUUUUUAUGAAUAAAGUGCAUUUAUCCUUAUUUUAUUAAUCCCUAACAAUAAAAUAAUUAAUAGCAGCUUAAUCUGCUAGUUAAUUAAUGCGAUAUAUCGCAAUUGUUUUGUCUAGUAUUGUUUAGGAAGCUGAAAUAGAAAGAGCUGGAUUGUCCUGGUUUUUUGGAAGUUGGCAUAACAUACUUAAUUAAUAUCCAUUGUGGGGAUGCAAACGACAUUAAUGAGCUGCCGAACGAUUCUGCAUUGACUUCAGGCUGGUUUGUGACUGAUUUAUAUUCAAAUGCAUGGCGGUUAAUAUGCUUAUGAAAUUUAUAUUGCAGUCACAGAUAUCUUUUGGACAUACCAAGCUUUGUCUUUUGCUAGGAUAACGUGUUUCUUACAGGCAUAUAAUGAAAUAUUAAUUUAUUUACGAUACAUAUUUAACUAGGACAAGUAUUAUAAUGAUCAAUAAUAUUUAAAAGAAACCAAGUAUGAAACGCAAUGAUGAAAUACGACCUCAAUAUAACAAAAAUAUACAUAAAUAUAACUUGAAAAACAUGUUGAACAGAAGAAUUGUAUUUAGGGCCUAUAACUUUUCUUCAAAAAUCCUCAUCGAAAUAGAAGCGUAUUCUGGAAUUAAGGUAAAUCACACUGCGAAAAUGAAUUGAAAUCGCUUUGUUAUAUAUACUUCCAUAAUAUUUUCUUCUCGAAAAUUUUAUCUAGUUUUUUUAUAAAAACAUUUUAAAACAAGUAACAGGUGUAUUCGAUCGUAUUAAGUAGUAACCAAAGGACCCAGAUCUUAGCAUUGGAUUGUAAAUGCAAAGAUAAUGAACCUAUUCAAAGCUUUAAACUGGCUCCGAUAUUAUUAUCUAUAUGAAAAGUCGAUAAAAUAGAACCGCUGACAGUCGGAUUUAUUUAGUUUUUAUAAAUCUCAAAUCUACCUAUUUUAAAU